rfam:Triticum urartu cultivar G1812 contig813337, whole genome shotgun sequence.
CUAGUACUCCCUCCGUUCCAGAAUACUUGACUAUCAUUUUUCCAAAAAUAGAUGUAUUUAUAUAUCAAAAUAUGUCUAGAUACAUCUAUAUUUUGACAAAUGAAAGGCAUAUAUUGUGGAACGGAGAGAGUACAUG